GAGUUUGAUCAUGGCUCAGGAUGAACGCUAGCGGCAGGCUUAACACAUGCAAGUCGAGGGGUAACAGGGGAGCUUGCUUCCGCUGACGACCGGCGCACGGGUGCGUAACGCGUAUAGAACCUACCUUUUACAGAGGGAUAGCCUUUAGAAAUGAAGAUUAAUACCUUAUGGUAUUAUAGAUUCGCAUGAAUUUAUAAUUAAAGAUUUAUCGGUAAAAGAUGGCUAUGCGUCCUAUUAGCUAGAUGGUAAGGUAACGGCUUACCAUGGCGACGAUAGGUAGGGGUCCUGAGAGGGAGAUCCCCCACACUGGUACUGAGACACGGACCAGACUCCUACGGGAGGCAGCAGUGAGGAAUAUUGGGCAAUGGAGGCAACUCUGACCCAGCCAUGCCGCGUGCAGGAAGACGGCCCUAUGGGUUGUAAACUGCUUUUAUACAGGAAGAAACACUCGU
rnacentral:rRNA from 1 species